rnacentral:rRNA from 1 species
AGCGAACGCUGGCGGCAGGCCUAACACACGCAAGUCGAACGGUCCUUCGGGACAGUGGCGGACGGGUGAGUAACGCGUGGGAACGUGCCCUUAGGUUCGGAACAACUCAGGGAAACUUGAGCUAAUACCGAAUGUGCCCUACGGGGGAAAGAUUUAUCGCCUUUGGAGCGGCCCGCGUCUGAUUAGCUAGUUGGUGAGGUAAAGGCUCACCAAGGCUACGAUCAGUAGCUGGUCUGAGAGGAUGAUCAGCCACACUGGGACUGAGACACGGCCCAGACUCCUACGGGAGGCAGCAGUGGGGAAUCUUGCGCAAUGGGCGAAAGCCUGACGCAGCCAUGCCGCGUGAAUGAUGAAGGUCUUAGGAUUGUAAAAUUCUUUCACCGGGGACGAUAAUGACGGUACCCGGAGAAGAAGCCCGGCUAACUUCGUGCCAGCAGCCGCGGUAAUACGAAGGGGGCUAGCGUUGCUCGGAAUUACUGGGCGUAAAGGGCGCGUAGGCGGACAGUUUAGUCG